AAUGUAUGACGUCGUUGAUUUUUUGUCCAACGUUUGACCAUUCGUCUUAUUCAAAAAAAAAUUGUGUAAUUAUCAUUUAUUUUAUUGUGACUUGAUUCAUCAUCCAAUGUUCUUUAAGCAUGACAUAAAUAUUUUCAUAUUUGCACCAAAAUUUUGAAUAAAACGAAUGGUCAAACGUUGGUCGAAAAGUCAACGGCGUCAUACAUU
rfam:Oryza sativa Japonica Group DNA, chromosome 2, cultivar: Nipponbare, complete sequence.